rnacentral:rRNA from 1 species
GGACUACCAGGGUAUCUAAUCCUGUUUGCUCCCCACGCUUUCGUGCCUGAGUGUCAGUUAUGGCCCAGGGGGCUGCCUUCGCCAUCGGUAUUCCUCCACAUCUCUACGCAUUUCACUGCUACACGUGGAAUUCUACCCCCCUCUGCCAUCCUCUAGCCGUACAGUCUCAAAUGCAGUUCCCAGGUUGAGCCCGGGGAUUUCACAUCUGACUUAUACAACCACCUGCGCACGCUUUACGCCCAGUAAUUCCGAUUAACGCUCGCACCCUACGUAUUACCGCGGCUGCUGGCAC